UCCUGGAUGGAGCCCGAGACACCCUGUGCGA
rnacentral:piRNA from 1 species